AUAAAUAAUAAAAGCACGACUUAAAUCACUAAUGCCAGUUAAAUUAAUUCUACAGUAAGAAAUUCAGGUAACUGACUGUCACUACAUGUCAGAUGCAAAAGCAACUCAAAUGCAGCCUUGUUGUUUGUACACUGCAUGGCUCGGAGACUAAAUUUGAAAAACAGAAGGAAGGAAAAAUAGAUGGCACGUAAAUGGUAUUUCUGAAGUUGCAUUAUCUGUUGAUGGACCUUCAUCAAAUACAGCCAGGCAUGAGCUGACGUCUUAGGACGUGGGUGGCCAAUUAGAACAAACCUUAAUGAAAGCAAUGACGUUAACAAUUUCUGGUUUUAGUAUAUUGCCAAGAAUAAGCAAAUAGUUUCUAAUAGAUUGUUUUUUAGAUACAGCCUUAGUGAAUAUCCAAAUCUAUGUAUGCUGAUUUACUUUAACAUCUCUGUAAUGUAAAAAUAUUUGAUGGUUUUUUUUUGUUGUUCUUUUAACUCGAAUGGUGACUUUGAAAUGCAGUUUGUACCCUUUCUGUAUCUGCAGCUGGAACAACAGUGGGCUUUGGACAAGUAAAUCAUUGGGUGGUUUUGCUCCUUAACAAUCUGAGACUGGUUUUUUUUUUUCAAAAGGAGCUGUAUGCUUUUAAUAUACCUUGAAACUGCCAAGGUUCCAGGGAAGGCGAAGCUUUUACUCUGUUUGAAGAUUCUUCUUUUUCACCGUUGUUCCAGUACCUAACCUAGUAAAUAUAAACCACAACCAUUUAAAAUCUUGCAUGAAAAGGACUGUUCACCCAAGACACUGCAUCUGACUCCUUGAAGUGCAGUUUUUCCCUCAGCUGAAAAAGGAUUCGCAGACACAAGCCUACCACUGCCUGCGGUGAAGUCGAGAGCUCAAUUGCACAACUGACUCUCUGGAGCAGGAUUCAGCCCACACAAGUAUAACCUCAGUACUUGUUUAGAAAGCAAACUGUGACUUCCCACUGUUGCAGCCUUCUGUCUCAGUUUAUCACCUAUGCUGAGCAGGUGGCCUGCAGACGUGGCAGAGGCAUGCUUUAUAGAAGGAAAGAAAAUUCCCUCCACCUCACACAAACUCCACUAGUGAGAGUCACGCCUAACGGACAGGCAGCAUGGAACAAACCAGGAAGAUGCUUGUGAAAGCCAUGGACAGAAGACCUGCAGUACUGAUACAGACAGAAGAGCACCAGCAUCCCAACAGCAGAGAUGACAUCCUAGACAAAAGCACUGGAGGGAUGUAAAGCACAAAGGUCUCAGCUGUGCAGAGCACGUCACCUAACGAAGCGUGCAGAUCACACUGACUUCACCUGAGCUGAAACUCAGUGAACCCCAGGAGUGGCACGUACUUAGCGCUGGCCCCACUGCAAGGUGACUCCAGCUAUCUAUGGGCAGCAGGACAGCCCAGCUCAGCUCCUUCUUUGACAGGUCCCCUUCCCAGUUUAGUGCAACAGGCUCUGCCACUUAAGAGGACAAAAUCACAAAGCGGAAGUGUCUCCAUCUCUCGAUCCUCUCUCUAGCAUCCCAGGCUUCUCUUCUUACUCUUCCUCACAAAAGAUUUGUUCAUGAACAAGGGGACCUAAGCAGAAUAAGCCCAGUAGAUUUUCAUCAAGGAGACCCAGAACGAAGGAUUACUGCAGUCAAGGAGCUAAAGACAACUGACUGCUAUACACAGAGAACUCUUUUUGUGAGGUCUCCUCAGUGCUGGCUUGUAAAGACUUAGUCCUAUAGUUCACAAUCCUUAAAUACCUCCAGAGUAAGUCACGCUUAUGCACUGACACCAUGCUGUAAGGCUGGCCACCAAUACUCAAAAGUGAAGAAAUAGCAAGACUGAAUGAGAGAAGAUACUUCUGUACUUAACGAGCUUUUGAAGUUUCCAUCUGGAUGCUCCUGACAAAUGCAUGAAAACCAGUUUCAAAUAUUUUUGACUAAUUACAUGGACUUUUGGGAAUUCUCAUAUGAAGUAUUGUUGAUUUUACAUAGCAUCAUGUUUUCAAAACGGAACAUUACCUCUAU